rnacentral:rRNA from 1 species
CCUACGGGUGGCAGCAGUGAGGAAUAUUGGUCAAUGGACGAGAGCCUGAACCAGCCAAGCCGCGUGAAGGAUGACUGUCCUCGGGGUUGUAAACCUCUUUUAUAUGGGAAUAAAUUGUGGCACGUGUGGGAUUUUGUAUGUACCAUAUGAAUAAGGAUCGGCUAACUCCGUGCCAGCAGCCGCGGUAAUACGGAGGAUCCGAGUGUUAUCCGGAUUUAGUGGGUGUUAAGGGAGCGUAGGUGGAUUGUUAAGUCAGUUGUGAAAGUUUGCGGCUCAACCGUGAAAUUGCAGUUGAAACUGGCAGGCUGGAGUGCAGUAGAGGUAGGCGGAAUUCGUGGUGUAGCGGUGAAAUGCUUAGAUAUCACGAAGAACUCCGAUUGCGAAGGCAGCUUGCUGGACUGCAACUGACGCUGAGGCUCGAAAGUGUGGGUAGCAAACAGGAUUAGAUACCCGAGUAGUC